rnacentral:rRNA from 1 species
AACGAUGCUGACUAGUUGUUCGGGAAUUUAUUCCUGAGUAACGUAGCUAACGCGUGAAGUCAGCCGCCUGGGGAGUACGGUCGCAAGAUUAAAACUCAAAGGAAUUGACGGGGACCCGCACAAGCGGUGGAUGAUGUGGAUUAAUUCGAUGCAACGCGAAAAACCUUACCUACCCUUGACAUGCCACUAACGAAGUAGAGAUACAUUAGGUGCCCGUAAGGGAAAGUGGACACAGGUGCUGCAUGGCUGUCGUCAGCUCGUGUCGUGAGAUGUUGGGUUAAGUCCCGCAACGAGCGCAACCCUUGUCUCUAGUUGCUACGCAAGAGCACUCUAGAGAGACUGCCGGUGACAAACCGGAGGAAGGUGGGGAUGACGUCAAGUCCUCAUGGCCCUUAUGGGUAGGGCUUCACACGUCAUACAAUGGUGCAUACAGAGGGUUGCCAACCCGCGAGGGGGAGCUAAUCUCAGAAAAUGCAUCGUAGUCCGGAUCGUAGUCUGCAACUCGACUACGUGAAGCUGGAAUCGCUAGUAAUCGCGGAUCAGAAUGUCGCGGUGAAUACGUUCCCGGGUCUUGUACACACCGCCCGUCACACCAUGGGAGUGGGUUUUGCCAGAAGCCGUUAGCCUAACCGCAAGGAGGGCGACGACCACGGCAGGGUUCAUGACUGGGGUGAAGUCGUAACAAGGUA